CGUGACCUGAGCCGAAGUUGGGCACUUAGCCAACUGAGCCACUCAGGUGCUCCAAAGAUAUAUAUUUUUAUAAUAAUAUUUAUUGAAAUAGUUUUCAAAGUUUUAUUUAUCUGUUUUUCAGAAGUAAAAGUAGUUUUAAGCAAUAUCUCACAUGGGAAUUCAAUUUGCAACAUAAGAUAAAAACAAAGCUCCUUGGUUGAAGUGCGUGUGUGUGUGUGUGUGUGUGUGUGUGUGUGUGUGUUGGGGAUAGUGAGGCCCAGAGCCUACUCACUCAGUUAUUUCAUUCUCCUAGAGUAAAAGUCAGCAAACUAUGGUCCAUGGGCUAAAUCCCACCACUUCUUGUUCUUGCAAAUCACGUUUUAUUGAAUACAAAUAGCCAUGCCUGUGUUUUAAAUGUAUUGUCUAUGGCUGCUUUUCUGCUGCAACAGCAGAGUUGAGAAGUUCAGAUAGAAACCUAUUUAGGCAAAGUCUAAACAGAAUCUUUGCUGUCUGGCCCCUUCCAGGUAGAAGUUUGCAGAUCCCUCUUCUAGAAGGGACAGUGUUUGAAAUGCACAUCUCCUUGGCCUUGAGAUCUCAAUGCCUGCAGGUUACCUCUGUCCAAAUGAUCCAUAAGUCUCAAGUAUGAAGGUACAAAUGAGAUGAGAAGUCUGAACAAAUUAUGAAGACCCCUUGGGAGCAUCCUAUUCAACUGAGAGUUCCUUGAAGUUAGGGAUUGGUAGUAUGUCAUGUAUCUCUAACACCUGGUUCAAAUUCUGCUAUAUAUUU
rnacentral:lncRNA from 1 species